rnacentral:rRNA from 1 species
CACGUAGGGGGCAAGCGUUGUCCGGAAUUACUGGGCGUAAAGGGCGCGCAGGCGGCUUGGUAAGCAAUGGGUGAAAUUCCGGGGCUCAACCCCGGCGCUGCUCGUUGAACUGCCAGGCUAGAGUACGGGAGAGGGCAGUGGAAUUGCUGGUGUAGCGGUGGAAUGCGUAAAUAUCAGCAAGAACACCUGUGGCGAAGGCUGCUGCCUGGAACGGUACUGACGCUGAGGCGCGAAAGCUAGGGGAGCAAACGGGAUUAGAUACCCUCGUA